rnacentral:rRNA from 1 species
UACGUAGGGUGCAAGCGUUGUCCGGAAUUAUUGGGCGUAAAGAGCUCGUAGGCGGUUCGUCGCGUCGGCUGUGAAAUCCCGGAGCUCAACUCCGGGUCUGCAGUCGAUACGGGCGGACUCGAGUUCGGCAGGGGAGACUGGAAUUCCUGGUGUAGCGGUGAAAUGCGCAGAUAUCAGGAGGAACACCGGUGGCGAAGGCGGGUCUCUGGGCCGAUACUGACGCUGAGGAGCGAAAGCGUGGGGAGCGAACAGG